UACGUAGGUCCCGAGCGUUGUCCGGAUUUAUUGGGCGUAAAGCGAGCGCAGGUGGUUUAAUAAGUCUGAUGUAAAAGGCAGUGGCUCAACCAUUGUGUGCAUUGGAAACUGUUAGACUUGAGUGCAGUAGAGGAGAGUGGAAUUCCAUGUGUAGCGGUGAAAUGCGUAGAUAUAUGGAGGAACACCGGUGGCGAAAGCGGCUCUCUGGCUGGUAACUGACGCUGAGGUGCGAGAGCGUAGGGAGCAAACAGG
rnacentral:rRNA from 1 species